AUUGAACGCUGGCGGCAGGCCUAACACAUGCAAGUCGAGCGAGCGGCGGACGGGUGAGUAAUGUCUGGGAAACUGCCUGAUGGAGGGGGAUAACUACUGGAAACGGUAGCUAAUACCGCAUACCAUCAGAUGUGCCCACAGGGGAUUAGCUAGUAGGUGGGGUAACGGCUCCCCUAGGCGCCGAUCACUAGCUGGUCUGAGAGGAUGAACAGCCAAACCGGAACUGAGACACGGUCCGGAAUCCUACGGGAGGCAGCAGUGGGGAAUAUUGCACAAUGGGCGCAAGCCUGAUGCAGCCAUGCCGCGUGUGUGAAGAAGGCCUUCGGGUUGUAAAGCACUUUCAGCGGGGAGGCGUUACCCGCAGAAGAAGCACCGGCUAACUCCGUGCCAGCAGCCGCGGUAAUAC
rnacentral:rRNA from 1 species